CUUGGUCAUUUAGAGGAAGUAAAAGUCGUAACAAGGUUUCCGUAGGUGAACCUGCGGAAGGAUCAUUACUAGAGCAAAGGAUAGACAGCGCCCGCGGAGCUUGCUCCCUGGGGCUACCCUACUUCGGUAGGGUUUAGAGUCGUCGGGCCUCUCGAAGAAGCUCGGUCCUGAACUCCACCCUUGAAUAAAUUACCUUUGUUGCUUUGGCGGGCCGCCUCGUGCCAGCGGCUUCGGCUGUUGCGUGCCCGCCAGAGGACCACAACUCUUGUUUUUAGUGAUGUCUGAGUACUAUUUAAUAGUUAAAACUUUCAACAACGGAUCUCUUGGUUCUGGCAUCGAUGAAGAACGCAGCGAAAUGCGAUAAGUAAUGUGAAUUGCAGAAUUCAGUGAAUCAUCGAAUCUUUGAACGCACAUUGCGCCCUCUGGUAUUCCGGGGGGCAUGCCUGUUCGAGCGUCAUUAUAACCACUCAAGCUCUCGCUUGGUAUUGGGGUUCGCGGUCUCGCGGCCCCUAAAAUCAGUGGCGGUGCCUGUCGGCUCUACGCGUAGUAAUACUCCUCGCGAUUGAGUCCGGUAGGUUUACUUGCCAGCAACCCCUAAUUUUUACAGGUUGACCUCGGAUCAGGUAGGGAUACCCGCUGAACUUAAGCAUAUCAAUAAGCGGAGGA
rnacentral:rRNA from 1 species